CGCCGCCGUAAGCGCUGCCCGCAGCAACGAGUACAGGAGGGUGCAGGGGAGGCUAAGCAGGAGGAAAGCCCUAUCACGUGACCAGCGAGCGCAAAACCCUCUCCAGAGCCCCUUCCUAAUCGGCACGGUCCUUCCGUAAUCGCGCCGAUCCUCGCUCAGCGCCCAUGCGGCGCGGCCGCCCGGCCCGAGCUCGCUCGCAGCGGGAGGAUUCAGCGUUUCUCGGCCGGCCGCCCGGGCAGAGGCGCGCGCAGCUCAGCGGAGCCGAGCGCCGCCUGCGUUCUGCGGCGCAGACGCUUCCCAUGGCGCGCGAUCACAGGAAGCCGUUCCCGGAACAGCUUACGAUAGCACCGUUCCUUCUAACGCGCUUCGGUAGCUGACGCAAGGGCAAUUCGCCAGCGCUACGUGCUAAGCCAGCGGCUCUUUUCGCACCCAGCGCUGCCACCUUGGGAACAACAAGAGCUAAACACACAGCCGUAAAACUAAGGUCCUGUCCACUCAGUCGAAAACGCCGUGAAAUUUCAUCCAAGGGUUAACGGAGUUGUGACGCCACCUAAAUUGCCGCGUGGGCAACCGCCUCGCCCCCGUGCACUGCCUCCGCUACGGACCCCACUUCUUCCCCUGGGCAGACAGCGCAGAGCCUGCACGGAAACGGGGUUUCCUUCCCUCCUGAGCGUGCUCGCUGGAGGGAGCAAGGUCUUCCCGGGAAACUCAGCGCUUGGCAAAGCAGCGCGUUCACCUCAAGCCACCCAUCGCUCAGCAGGCAGUGCCAGGGAGAACGGAGGGGGAAAAAAAAAAAUUAAGAAUAAUAAUCAAGAAACUGAGUCAAUCGCAGACAGAGGAGACCAAGCUCCUGUUCCCGGAAAUAGUUUUGUACGGCACUGUUAUCCCUGUGUGUUUGAGUGGCACAUAUGGCUGAUGACACACUGCUGUCACCUUCAGCUCCCCCAAAGAGGAAACGGGUGAUCGUCACUCAUUCAGCGCGCACACCCACACAGUCUCGCUGAGCACCGCGGGCGGGGGAAGAGCUCUGGCAGGAGGCGAUGCAGCGGCUCUACAAAAUGAAGCAGCAAAAGUAAUGAAAACAAAAAUAAAGCAGCUUUUAUUUAGAAGGUAAAUAAAUCA
rnacentral:lncRNA from 1 species